UCUGUUGGUAAAGAAUCUGCCUGCAAUGCAGGAGACCCAGGUUCGAUCCCUGG
rnacentral:tRNA from 1 species